rnacentral:rRNA from 1 species
UACGUAGGGGGCAAGCGUUGUUCGGAUUUACUGGGCGUAAAGGGCAUCUAGGCGGUUGUGUAAGUGUGGAUUUAAAGGCAGAGGCUUAACCUCUUGCAUGGUCUGCAAACUGCACAACUAGAGUACAGAAGGGGAAACUGGAAUUCCGCAAGUAGGGGUGAAAUCUGUAGAUAUGCGGAAGAAUACCGGUGGCGAAGGCGAGUUUCUGGUCUGUAACUGACGCUGAAAUGCGAAAGUGUGGGGAGCAAACAGG